rnacentral:tRNA from 1 species
GGCUGGCGUUGAAAACUGCGCAGAGUCAGGGCGGGAUUGAAAAUCCCCGUGUCCUUGGUUCGAUUCCGAGUCCGGUCACCA